ensembl:snoRNA SNORD116 Small nucleolar RNA SNORD116
GGAUCAAUGAUGACUUCCAUAUAUACAUUCCUUGGAAAGCUAUACCGUCAUCCUCGUCGAACUGAGGUCC